rnacentral:misc_RNA from 1 species
ACGACUUGAUACUUCUUUCAGGCCCUGAAAAUAAAGUGAAUUAGUACUGUACCACAAGCAGGGGUAGUAAAAUGGGUUAUAAAGCUUCAAGCAUUACUUGAUGAAUUAUCUGAAAAGUAUUUAAAUAACAACUAAAACUUAGCAAUUAUAACAGAAAAUUUUAAUUUUAUGGCCAGUGAUCUAUGGUUUUCUCAACUUAUCUGUCAUCAGCAACUCCACAGAUAACUAUUUGAGCAAGCAACAUGACUAAGAUGUUGAAGGUUUAUGAAAAAGGCAGAUGCCUGCUCUAUCAUAACUUGAAAGCUAACUGGAGUUAACUUUUAAAAACAGCAAAAAUAGAAAUUACAUUAAUUAAUUCCUUCCGAG